GCUCAGGAUGAACGCUGGCGGUCUGCUUAACACAUGCAAGUCGAACGGGCUCUUUCGGGAGCUAGUGGCGGACGGGUGAGUAACGCGUGAGGAUCUGCCCUUAGGACCGGGACAACAGCUGGAAACGGCUGCUAAUACCGGAUGUGCCGAGAGGUGAAACAUUUAUGGCCUGAGGAAGAGCUCACGUCUGAUUAGCUAGUUGGUAGUGUAAUGGACUACCAAGGCGACGAUCAGUAGCUGGUCUGAGAGGAUGACCAGCCACACUGGGACUGAGACACGGCCCAGACUCCUACGGGAGGCAGCAGUGGGGAAUUUUCCGCAAUGGGGGCAACCCUGACGGAGCAAGACCGCGUGGGGGAAGAAGGUUUGUGGAUUGUAAACCCCUUUUGAUUGGGAAGAAGACAGUGACGGUACCAAUCGAAUCAGCAUCGGCUAACUCCGUGCCAGCAGCCGCGGUAAUACGGAGGAUGCAAGCGUUAUCCGGAAUUAUUGGGCGUAAAGCGUCCGUAGGUGGAAGUUCAAGUCAGUUGUUAAAGCGUGAGGCUUAACCUCAUAAGGGCAAUUGAAACUGAGCAUCUAGAGUGCGAUAGGGGCAAGGGGAAUUCCCAGUGUAGCGGUGAAAUGCGUAGAUAUUGGGAAGAACACCGGUGGCGAAAGCGCCUUGCUGGGUCUGCACUGACACUGAGGGACGAAAGCUAGGGGAGCGAAAGGGAUUAGAUACCCCUGUAGUCCUAGCUGUAAACGAUGGAUACUAGGCGUUGACCGUAUCGACCCGGUCAGUGUCGUAGCUAACGCGUUAAGUAUCCCGCCUGGGGAGUACGCUCG
rnacentral:rRNA from 1 species